UCGCUAGGUUUGCAACUACGUGUCCCAGACUGCAUCCCUGCUGAGAGUCCCUCCCUCCCUUCUCAUAUUGCAGGAAGAACAUAAGUUCCCGCCCCUUGUCAAUCAGUCACCAUAUAAUUUUGGAUUGGUUGUUGUGGUGAAGUUUUCCACCAAUAGGAGAGAUGUUGUGGUGUGUUUUUUUUUUCCUUUGGCAAGCCUUUUCCGCCUGUAAGACCUGUCGCUAAUGUCUGCAUGCUAUGUUUUCCUGUCUCAUACAGCGCGAUCGAGCGCCGAACGUGAUCAAAAUAAGCAGAAAAAAAGUAUCGCGGACAUAAUUUAUCAUAACUCUGGUUUUAUUUGGCCUAUCAACACAAUUUAAAAACUGGUAUAUAGGUUGACGUCCUCACUUUUGAGAUAAAUUGAAACGGAGAGUCAACGAGGCUCCGUCUUGCAGCUACAUCCGGUUAAAUAUGUCAUGUGACUUGAACGCACACACACACACACACACACAGACACACACACGCACACACACACACUCAGAGUCUGGUUUGUAGCACCUGCAAAAACAUGCUAUUUACAUAUUUGACAAGAAUGCAGAGGCUCCUUUUGCCCCUGAAAAAAAUCAAAUUUCAAACACAACUUGACUGGUCAUUUCUCCAAAAGACAACCAUGAAGCUCCAUCCAAACCUGAAGCAGGCAGUUGGUGCAUGUGUACAGUAACCUGAGGGGAGUGAGGUGACUGCUUCUGAGGAGAACAUGAGCAGUGAAGAUUUACCUUAGAGCUAGAACAGAGACGUGCACAUGAUUAUACAGGGGCAGGGGCUCAAGUUUUUUCCAGUCGUUUAUACAAUUUGGAAAUUAAUGUGAAAUUAAAAAACAAAGUAUUAAUAGAAAGGUAAUGACUGUCCUGUGUAGGUGACAGUGAUAUCCAAUAGGCUAGGCACUCACGAGGCUGGCUGUGGCAAGUGUAAGUGAAAGCAACACGCACUGGCAGGAAGAACAGCAAACGCCGAUGAAGGAAAAGGGUCUUUGCAGUGAUGGGCGUUACCAAAGAGGGCGAUGGCCAGAGGACACAAAUGGGACGGGGAGGCAGCGCGUUGGGGGGGGGGCACGCGACACAGCUCGGGCCCGCCAGUGCCCCAACGGGGUCCUAGUUUGUUAUUAUUAUUAUUUUUCCUCCGCUUUAAACUGGAAAAUGGCCCACUUCCCACUGGCGAAAACUCAUGAAAUUUGGCAGGACGACCGGGCCUGGUGAAAAAUUUGAUAUUCUGAAGUCGCCCAAACAAUAAAAUGCAAAAUGGCUCCAUAGCGCCCCCUAAGGUGAAAAUUCACACUAUUGACUGUCACGCCUGUACGCUUUGUCAAAAUGACACAAAAAUUGACACACACAUGUAUCUCAAUAAGAUCUACAAAAAAGUCAGUGCGGGCGUAUCUGUCAAAUGUACGGUUAAAGGAUUAUUGCGCAUUUUUUGCCGAUCCGCACACAUUGGAAUUUCGCUAACUCCUCCGAAGGCUUUCGUUCCACCGGCACCACAUUUGCUCAGGCCAAUCUACACCCCAUGGCCAUUAAAAGUUGUACAAAUCAUGACGCUGCACCCCACGGUUUACGUUCUAGGGGGCGCCAAAGAUAACCCAAAAAUCCACAUUCUUAAAAGUCUAAUAACUUUUUAUUUUUGUCCUCACUGGCCUCCAAGUUUUCUAGGAUGAUGCAAUGUCCAGCCAUCAACA
rnacentral:lncRNA from 1 species